ACUAAGUAUAAGAAAGGUCUCGGGAUUCUUGCCCAUAUAUGAACCUUCCUGGAAAAGACAAAACUUUAAAGUCUUUCUCAACUGAAAGUUGCAUAGGCAUUUGUAUACAAAACUGUUUCAUCUCAACAUCAGAUUAAAAAAAAUGUGGGUUGUAUUCUGUGGUUUCACAUGCAUCAUGUGUUUUUAAUGGAGAAAUGAUGUAUUCCAAGCUGUCUACUAUAUGAUUCCACAUAAAAAAGAUCUUGAAGGAAACGUAUAGACAUCUUGUGUAGCAAAAUGUAAUUUUCAGUUCAUUAUUUAUUCAUGCAUAAUUCAUGUUUCACUAUCUAACCAAACAGAAUAACCUAGUUAGCUAGUUAAUCUUGUUAUAAACAUCCGAGACAAGAUAUUUAAACUAAAGUUUUUCAGAAUUUGAUAGUUUUUUCUGUUGAAUACCUAAUUUAAGUUGGUUGCUAAUUUUACCUUUUUAUUUCAGAAUCAAUAUCAACAUUCAAAGGCGAAGUUUCUUUGUACUCAGCCACCCAACACUCAGCCACCCAACACACAGAUGACAGAAGAACAAAUGGAGGAAAGGUGGCUUGAGAGUGUUGGUGGUCCCACUAGUUUAAUGUUUUGUGGAUGUUUGCAAAGGUCGUGAAGUAGUUUAAUGUUGUGUAGAUGUUUGCGAAUGUUGAAGUAGCUUAAUGUCUCUUCGGAAUGUUUGAAUGGCAUUUUGAUUCAACUUUGAAGUAGUUUCGAAUUGAAUUUGACGUAUUGUUGGUUGUAAUAUAUGUGUUUGUUGAAGUA